UUCAUUUUAUUAGCUUUCCUUGUGUGAUAGUAAUGCUUAAACUCAGGGCGUAGCUAGGAGUUAGUUUAGUUGAUCUUUUGACUGCUUCUAUUUCGAUCCAUGAAGAUCUCUCUGUAUUAUUUUUAUUUUUGUAUUAUAUUUAUGAUUUACUUGUUUGAAAAUUUCCAUAUGUAAUCUCGACUUGUGAUGACACAAGAAAAGUUUCUGGCUACGUUAUUGUUAAACUCAUUAUUUUUUUUACCGUGAUGAAAUAAAUCUUAUCCAGGG
rnacentral:lncRNA from 1 species